CGGUAAUUCCAGCUCCAAUAGCGUAUACUAAAGUUGUUGCAGUUAAAAAGCUCGUAGUUGGAUUUCUGCGGGGACGGAGCGGCCGGACGCAACUUGCGUCUCGAGCUAGCGCUUUCCCCCGCAUCCUGCCGCGAACCGUGCUACCAUUAGCUUGGUGGCGCUGGGGAUCGGCUCGAUUACUUUGAGAAAAAUAGAGUGUUCAAAGCAGGCCACACGCCUUGAAUAAGUUAGCAUGGAAUAAUGACUAAGGACUUCGGUUCUAUUUUGUUGGUGUUCGGGACUGAAGUAAUGAUUGAUAGGGACAGUUGGGGCGGUCUGUAUUCCAAAGCGAGAGGUGAAAUUCUUAGACCUUCGGAAGACAAACAGCUGCGAAAGCGUUCCGCAAGGAUGUUCCCUUUGAUCAAGAACGAAAGUUGGGGGAUCGAAGACGAUCAGAUACCGUCGUAGUCUCAACUAUAAACUAUACCAGCUAGGGAUCGGUCAACGUUUAAUCAUUCGACUUGAUCGGCACCUUAUGAGAAAUCAAAGCAUCUGGGUUCCGGGGGGAGUAUGGUCGCAAGGCUGAAACUUAAAGGAAUUGACGGAAGGGCACCACCAGCCGUGGAGCCUGUGGCUUAAUUUGACUCAACACGGGAAAACUUACCAGGUCCAGACAUAGUAAGGAUUGACAGAUUGAUAGCUCUUUCUUGAUUCUGUGGGUGGUGGUGCAUGGCCGUUCUUAGUUGGUGGAGUGAUUUGUCUGGUUAAUUCCGUUAACGAACGAGACCCCAGCCUGCUAAAUAGCGCGGCUGAGCUUUGCUCGGUGCGAGCUUCUUAGAGGGACUAUGAUGCGCGAUAGCACAUGGAAGUUUGGGGCAAUAACAGGUCUGUGAUGCCCUUAGAUGUUCUGGGCCGCACACGGGCUACACUGGCGCCUGCAACGAGCAUAUCAGCUGGCCCGAGAGGGUCUUGGCUAAUCUUUUGAACCGGCGCCGUGCUUGGGAUUGACCUUUGCAAUUGUUGGUCAUGCAACGAGGAAUGCCUUGUAAACGCGAGUCAUCAGCUCGCAUUGAAUACGUCCCUGCCCUUUGUACACACCGCCCGUCGCUCCUACCGAUGAAUGUUCCGAUGAAAUUUUCGGAGAGUGCCUGUGAAGCCGGCCCCGCCGGUCGAACGGGAUGCUCAAAGUCACUUAAAUCUGAACAUUUCGAGGAAGGAGAAGUCGUAACAAGGUAGCCG
rnacentral:rRNA from 1 species